AAUAGAUACCCCGGUAGUCCACGCCGUAAACGAUGAGUGCUAAGUGUUAGAGGGUUUCCGCCCUUUAGUGCUGCAGCAAACGCAUUAAGCACUCCGCCUGGGGAGUACGGCCGCAAGGCUGAAACUCAAAGGAAUUGACGGGGGCCCGCACAAGCGGUGGAGCAUGUGGUUUAAUUCGAAGCAACGCGAAGAACCUUACCAGGUCUUGACAUCCUCUGCCACUCCUAGAGAUAGGACGUUCCCCUUCGGGGGACAGAGUGACAGGUGGUGCAUGGUUGUCGUCAGCUCGUGUCGUGAGAUGUUGGGUUAAGUCCCGCAACGAGCGCAACCCUUGAUCUUAGUUGCCAGCAUUCAGUUGGGCACUCUAAAGUGACUGCCGGUGACAAACCGGAGGAAGGUGGGGAUGACGUCAAAUCAUCAUGCCCCUUAUGACCUGGGCUACACACGUGCUAUAAUGGAUGGUACAAAGGGUCGCAAAACCGCGAGGUCGAGCCAAUCCCACAAAACCAUUCUCAGUUCGGAUUGCAGG
rnacentral:rRNA from 1 species